UACAGAGGUGGCAAGCGUUGUUCGGAAUUACUGGGCGUAAAGGGCGCGUAGGCGGCCCGUCAAGUCCCGUGUGAAAGCCCCGGCUCAACCGGGAACGGCGCGGGAAACUAGCAGGCUUGAGUUCGGGAGAGGGAAGCGGAAUUCCGGGUGUAGCGGAUGAAAUGCGCAGGAAUAUCGGGAGGAACACCUAUGGGCGAAGGCAGCUCGCUGGGACGUUACUGACGCUGAGACGCGAAAGCGUGGGGAGCAAA
rnacentral:rRNA from 1 species